rnacentral:misc_RNA from 1 species
AAUCUUUUGAUGUAGGGGGUCCCAAUGGUGAGUACAAAGCUCCUUAUGCACUCAUCUAUAGAAACAUGGCAAUCUUAGGUGUUGAAGGAUUCUCAGCUCUGCCUCGCCAUUGCUUGCAGCUGUGUUAUGGUUUUUUCGCGUUUGCUGUACUUGCCAACUUGGUGAGAGACAUGGCCCCUGAGAGAGUCGGGAAAUUGGUUCCUCUCCCAAUGGCUAUAGCUGUG